rnacentral:rRNA from 1 species
GAUGAACGCUGGCGGCGUGCCUAACACAUGCAAGUCAAGCGAUUCUCUUCGGAGAAGAGCGGCGGACGGGUGAGUAACGCGUGGGUAACCUGCCCUGUACACACGGAUAACAUACCGAAAGGUAUGCUAAUACGGGAUAACAUAAGAAAUUCGCAUGUUUUUCUUAUCAAAGCUCCGGCGGUACAGGAUGGACCCGCGUCUGAUUAGCUAGUUGGUAAGGUAACGGCUUACCAAGGCGACGAUCAGUAGCCGACCUGAGAGGGUGAUCGGCCACAUUGGAACUGCGACACGGUCCAAACUCCUACGGGAGGCAGCAGUGGGGAAUAUUGCACAAUGGGCGAAAGCCUGAUGCAGCAACGCCGCGUGAGCGAUGAAGGCCUUCGGGUCGUAAAGCUCUGUCCUCAAGGAAGAUAAUGACGGUACUUGAGGAGGAAGCCCCGGCUAACUACGUGCCAGCCGCCGCGGUAA